CCCUUAGAUGUUCUGGGCGGCCCGCGCACUACAUUGGCACUCUCAAUAAGUUCCUAGAUCUAAAACUUUGGGGUAUUCUAUUAAGUGGUGUCGUGACUGGGAUUAACCCUUGCAAUUAUUGGUUACGAACGAGGAAUUCCUUGUAAUCGCGGUUUAUCAGCCCGCGUUGAAUGCGUCCCUGCCCUUUGUACACACCGCCCGUCGCUACUACCGAUUGAAUGGUUUAGUGAGAUCCUUGGAUCGGCCCUGUCGCGGCUGGCAACGGCCGCGUCGGCGCGUCGAGAAGACGAUCAAACUUGAUCAUUUAGAGGAAGUAAAAGUCGUAACA
rnacentral:rRNA from 1 species